rnacentral:rRNA from 1 species
UACGGAGGGUGCGAGCGUUGUCCGGAAUCAUUGGGCGUAAAGCGCGCGUAGGCGGCUUUGUAAGUUAGAGGUGAAAGCCCGGGGCUCAACCCCGGAACUGCCUUUAAAACUGCAUCGCUUGAAUCCAGGAGAGGUGAGUGGAAUUCCGAGUGUAGAGGUGAAAUUCGUAGAUAUUCGGAAGAACACCAGUGGCGAAGGCGGCUCACUGGACUGGUAUUGACGCUGAGACGCGAAAGCGUGGGGAGCAAACAGG